CUACGGGUGGCAGCAGUUACGAAAACUUCGCAAUGCUCUAGCGAGCGACGAGGGAACCUGGAGUGUUCAUGCUCUGCAUGAACUUUUGUCCACUGCAAACAGGUGGACGAAUAAGGGGUGGGUAAUACGAGUGCCAGCCGCCGCGGUAAUACUCGAGCCCCGAGUGGUAUCCACGAUUAGUGGGUUUAAAGCGUCCGUAGCCGGUUUAGUAAGUCCCUAGUGAAAUUCUUUGGUAAACUGAAGAGCUUGCUGGGGAUACUACUGAACUUGGGACUGGGAGAGGGUAGAUGUACUCCUAGGGGAUGGGUAAAAUCCUAUAAUCCUAGGGGGACGACCUGUGGCGAAGGCUUCUACCUAGAACAGGUUCGACGGUGAGGGACGAAACCUAGGGGAGCGAUCGGGAUUAGAUACCCCCGUAGUC
rnacentral:rRNA from 1 species